rnacentral:rRNA from 1 species
UACAGAGGGUGCAAGCGUUAAUCGGAAUUACUGGGCGUAAAGCGCACGUAGGUGGCUGGGUAAGUUGGAUGUGAAAUCCCCGGGCUUAACUUGGGAAUUGCAUUCAAGACUGCCUUGCUAGAGUGCGGUAGGGGAGACUGGAAUUCCUGGUGUAGCGGUGAAAUGCGCAGAUAUCAGGAGGAACACCGGUGGCGAAGGCGGGGUCUCUGGGCCGUAACUGACGCUGAGGAGCGAAAGCGUGGGGAGGCGAACAGGAU